UGGCACUGACCCACCUGAGAAGGCUGGGGAGGGUGUGGUAAUCAUGAAAGCUUGAAGGCCAAGACAGAGGAUCUUCAGGAAGAGGCAGAGCUCAGCACCUGCGUCUCCCAGUAGUUUGUGCCUCAGAUUUCUUGUUCUGGACGUCCUCCAUGCCUGUUUUCUGAAGCUACCUGGAAACCAGUGACUAUCCCAACAAAAAAUGUCUAAAAUCCUCCUGUAUUACUUAGGCCUUUAAAGGUGUUUGAUUUCUUCCCCCACCGUGGCCCACCUGCACAGGAGUUCCUCUUUGAGGGCAACAAGCAUGGAGGCUGAGAGUUAAUGAUUAGACCCACAUUCUUGCACAAAAGGAAACCAAAUCAGAACCAGACUAACCAGAGGAGGCUGAAGAAAAUUAAUAGGUGGCAGAAAACCUUAUAAAAAGAAAACAAGGGAACUUUGCUGCAGAACAACAGCCCUUCGAAUGUCCGAGUGGGAAGAGACAGAGAGCAUCCUGUCCAACCCCUCCUGUAUUGAAGUAUUCAUUCUUCCUUUCUCUGCUGUCUCAUAAGCAUUUAUAUCAGCUUUCACAAGCUUUCAGCUCCAAUUUAGAAGAGCCGAAACAGAAAAUGACCGUCUGUUGGUUACAGAUCUGAGGAUAAGCCCCGCCAAGGACGCCGGAUGUGUGCUCACGGACUGUCUGGGCCCGCUGCAUCGAAGGCUUCCCCACCUGGGAUUCCCUCUCAGUAAUCUACAUGUUCUCAAGACAUGGGGAGGAGAAGAAAAGCAACCUUAUCAUUCAGGGAUUACGACCUUCCUUGGCUCCAACGAUUCAACUUUAAAUAUUUACUUGGCAGCUGAUUCAAAUUCAAAUAAACUUGCAGUUAUUGGGUGAAAUAAAGUGUGCCCCAUACUCAAAGCACUUAUAAUGUGUGGAAAUUUUUCAACUGUCCUAAUAUUUAUGUUUCCAGUUUGACCCAGAGUAAGUUGCGUCACUUAUUACAGAAUGACAUGAGGUUACGGCCAACCCCAAAGAUCUCAGUCAAGGAAUCUUCUCUGAUGCUGCAUUUGACUUCCCAGAGUCUGCAAAACUAAGUCCUUCCUGAAAAACAGUGAAUCUAUAUGAUAUGUGUGUGCGUACAGCUUGGUGACGAAUGCCAGGCGUAUUUCUAACAUUUCAGAACAACUCAAAGAACUAGCAACUAGAGAAACCUUCACGUAACCACCUCCACUUCAUAUUAAUUCUUCUCUUCGUCCUCCCUCAAAGUGAUUGGACUAUGUUAUCCUAUUCUUCUUGCGUUCCCCACUUUCCCUAGCAUAGAUUUUAUAUCUACAGAAGCUGGACUUUAACCGCUUUAGAGGGAGGAGCCCUUUACUUACAGCAGAUACUCAGCAGAUAUUUGGGAAGGAACAAAUGAACAAAUGGAUGAAUGAGUGAUUACCUGAUUCAGACAAAGUCCCUUUGCUAACGAGGUCUUCUUGCUACCUAUCUCCUUCACUCCUAGCUCCAAUAUUCUUUGGAAUUCCAAGGUU
rnacentral:lncRNA from 1 species